rnacentral:rRNA from 1 species
AACGAACGCUGGCGGCAUGCCUAACACAUGCAAGUCGAACGUGAUCCGGAGCUUGCUCCGGUGAAAGUGGCGCACGGGUGAGUAACGCGUGGGAACCUGCCCAAAGGUAAGGAAUAACCGCGGGAAACUGCGGCUAAUACCUUAUGCUCCCUUCGGGGGAAAGAUUUAUCGCCUUUGGAUGGGCCCGCGUCGGAUUAGCUAGUUGGUGAGGUAACGGCUCACCAAGGCGACGAUCCGUAGCUGGUCUGAGAGGAUGAUCAGCCACACUGGGACUGAGACACGGCCCAGACUCCUACGGGAGGCAGCAGUGGGGAAUAUUGGACAAUGGGCGCAAGCCUGAUCCAGCAAUGCCGCGUGAGUGAUGAAGGCCUUAGGGUUGUAAAGCUCUUUCGGCGGGGAAGAUGAUGACGGUACCCGCAGAAGAAGCCCCGGCUAACUUCGUGCCAGCCGCCGCUGUAAUAC